AGGAAUAUUGCGCAAUGGGCGAAAGCCUGACGCAGCGACGCCGCGUGGGGGAUGAAGGUUUUCGGAUUGUAAACCCCUUUCGUGAGGAAAGAUAAAGUGGGUAACCACUUAGACGGUACCUCAAGAAGAAGCCACGGCUAACUUCGUGCCAGCAGCCGCGGUAAUACGAAGGUGGCGAGCGUUGUUCGGAUUUACUGGGCGUAAAGAGCACGUAGGCGGUUGGGUAAGCCUCUUGGGAAAUCUCCCGGCUUAACCGGGAAAGGUCGAGGGGAACUACGCAGCUAGAGGACGGGAGAGGAGCGCGGAAUUCCCGGUGUAGCGGUGAAAUGCGUAGAUAUCGGGAAGAAGGCCGGUGGCGAAGGCGGCGCUCUGGAACGUACCUGACGCUGAGGUGCGAAAGCGUGGGGAGCAAACAGG
rnacentral:rRNA from 1 species